rnacentral:misc_RNA from 1 species
GAAAUGCGAUACGUAAUGCGAAUUGCACGAACUUGUGAGUCAUCAAAACUUUGAACGCACCUUGCGCUUCCGUCAGGAAGUAUGUCUGUUGGAGUGUCUGUUCAUCCCCACUUUCCCUCCCCUUUGUUGGGUUCGAGCGGAACAGGGCCGGCCGCUUGUCGCACGCCUCCGGGCGACGGGCAAGCGAGUCUAGAUGACAGACCCCCAAAACCGAACUCGCCCCCGCUCUUCAACUUGAGGAGCUCGGACGACGCGACGUGGUAUUUUGAAUAUCUGACGCGUCCCUCUCUGAGCUCGUGAUCAGGUGAGCCUCGGCAUUAAUGAGUUCAUCCGACCGGACCUCCAAUCAGACAAGAUUACCCGCUGAAUUUAA